GCAGCGGCGGCGGCCGCUGGGAUUUUAGUAUCCGAGUUAAGAGCGGGGUCGACGCCGGGUUGUGGCAGGGAGCCGGGGGCAGGAUUCCCCAGGAGGGAAGCCCGCCGCACCAGGGAGGCCCUUCUAAACCAGGUCGGGAGGCGGUCCCCGAGGACAGCGCUUGCCUACGAGGAGCCCUGCCCAAAUAACCGUCGGGCCGAUGCGCUGCAGGGAGGGCGAGGAGGACGGGGCGGGGCCCACCGGCCGGGGCAAAAGAGGGUGCGGGCCCAGUCUCCGUCGGCGGAGAGAGGAAGGACGACCACCCACCAGCGGGCUGGAGGGGCCCCGUUUCUGCCCAUAGAGAGGAGGGCGAAGCCCUGCCGGAGGGCAGCAGAGGAGGAGGUGGCAGAGCGCCCUGCCGGUGUGGCCAGGCAAGAGGACUGGAGUGGUUGCCAUUUCCUUCUCCAAGGGAUCUUCCCGACCCAGGGAUCGAACCCAGGUCUUCCCGCAUUACAGGCAGACGCUUUACCGUCUAAGCUCAGAGAGGGGUCACCAAGCUGGAGGAAGGGACCGCGCGUUCCCCAAGAUCCUCACCGCCCUCCUGCACAGUAUACGCCCGCUGUGUGUACAGACCUAUUCCGCUGAAGUUCUCGCUGAGUCGCCAUCUUCUCAACUAUGCUUCACUGUCAGCCAAUCGGGGUGGAGGGGGGCUGUCACGUGGCUCAUGGACCCACCCUGGAUUCUGGAAGACUUGGACAUCCUCAGGGCCAGCCUGGUCUCAGUUCCUUAACAUCAUCUCCAUGACUUUGCCCGCACUUCAGCCGUGCAGGCCGAAGAUCUACACACCGGUUCACUCUAAAUCUCAAGUUCCAGCUCCCCUCCCCCUCCAAACAAAACUACUACUUAUGCUGUCCGCCCCCCCAUGCCCCACUGUCUAAUGUGUAGUCAUUCAUCGGUGUUAGGGAGCCACCCACUCCCUUUAUCCAUUUCAUUUUCUCCCUGUUAAGUGAUGGAGCCCCAAUCACUACUGUAAUCCAACCACCUGAGUGAGUCUCCCCAAAGAUCAAACGCACAAAUCAUUUCCUUCACCCUCAGAUGAGCCUUUACCACAGUCCAGCAAGUGUCUAAUUCAUUCCUGAAGUCCUCCACCUCCCCACACUGGCUUUUCCAAAUCUUUGCCUCUUCCGCAUCCCAUACACCAACUCUCCUUUUUCAUAGAGGGGGAAAAAAAAGCCAUCCAGUGGAAUUUCCUCCUUCUCUUCACCUUCCCUCACCUUUAACUUCCACCACCUUAUCCCCCACUUGAAAGGAAGUGAUGUCAUUCUGAGCAGCCGGAGGUAAUCUUGUCUACAGGCCUAGGUCAAACAUCUCUGUGGAAUGUCUCUUGCAAUCCCCAGCACAAGAGUUGUUGACUGAUUCUCAGUGCUCCCACAUUGAAUGAACGAACAUUAAGUCCCUAACUGUGUGCUAAGCCCAGUGUAAGGGACACCAAACUAACAUGUCCCACUUGGCCUUCAAGGAGCACACAGCCAACCACUUUAGCAUGACCAGAUGGGAUGCUUAAAGCUUUUUCCUCCCCACCCACUGGAGGAUUUUGCCUGUGGUUUUGUCCCCUACCUACCGUCUGAGGAGGGUCUUUCUGAGUUGGUGCGGUUCUUUGGGGCUUUUGUGAUAGAGAAAGGUGGAGAGGUCACCCCCUUAAUACACACAAACAUGCACACACGCACAUGUGCACACACACGCUAGAGGUGAGUGACAGGAAAGAUGAGGAAAAUCUUACAAGAAGGGGAACAGAGAGGUAUUGGUGGGGUGCUGAAGACAGGGGAACAGGGACACCUGUAAUGUGUGAAGGACAUGUGGUUGGGAAGAAAAGAGGGACUUUAAAGUAUAACUGUGGUCUGGAUAUCUGUCCCUUUUGUGGUAUUUGAAAAAUGCAGGUACAGAAUUCGAAUGAUUCUGAUAUUUUUUGGCUGCACCAUGCAGCUUGCUGAACCUUAGUUCCCCAACCAGGGAUCGAACCCACUUCCCCCUGCAGUGGAAGCACAGAGUCCUAACCACUGGACUGCCAGGAAAUUCCCUGAUGUCACUUUGGAUCUGGAUCGUGUUUUAUGCACUUUAUCUUAGCCAAAAAAACAAGAAGUGAUGGAUUGUAUUUUCUGAAUUCAAGCCACUCUGAGCCUGGUCAGCACCACCCUCUUUGUUAUUUUUUUAAGGGGCCCACCCAACACUGAUGAUGUUGGGAAACAAGCAGUCCCAUACAUGGCUGGUAGGUUUAAAAAUUGAUGUAACCUUUUGAUAGGAUGAUUGAGCAUUGUACUCCAAAAACCCAACACUCAACAUCCUCUUUGAGCCAGAAAUUACACACUUGAGAAUAUAUUUUAAUGGAAUAACCAUGGAGGUAUAUGAAGAUUUCGACCUUAAAGAGAAAUUCUCCUUCAGCCCUUGUUGUCUUUAACAUGGCUUUGCUUGAACUCCCCCUUCUUUACCUUCUCAAGAGGUGAGAGACUCAGGGAAAAAGGGGGAAAGGAAUCCCCUCAAGCUCACCUAUAGACUAGGCAAAAAAAGGGAUCCAUGUGGUCCAGACUUCUGGAAAAGGAAACUUUGUAUGAUUCAGAGCAAAAGCGGAAUUUAAAAAAAAAAAAAAACAUGAUUGAUAGUAUGUAUUUACCCAGUGUGUGCCCAGUCAUGUCCAACUCUUUUGCAACCCCAUGGACUGUAGCCCACCAGGCUCCUCUGUCCAUGGGAUUUCCCAGGCAAGAAUAUUAGAGUGGGUUGCAUUUCCUUCUCCAGGGCAUCUUCCCAACCCAGGGAUCAAACCCAGCUCUCCUGCAUUGCAGGUGAAAUUUUUACCACUGAGCCGCCUGGGAAGACUAGUGUACACCUGUGCAUAUUCUAUCUGAAAUCUGGUGCAAGAAUGACUGAUUCAGGAACUUCCCUGGUGGUCCAGUAGCUGAGACUCCACUCUCCCAAUGCAGGGGGCCCAGGUUUGAUCCCUGAUCAAGGAACUAGAUCCCACAUGCUGCAACUAAAAAUCCUGCAUACCACAAUAAAGACUGAAGAUCCCGUG